GUAGAGGUCUAUCCUGAUCAACCUUCUGCAGACCCACAUCAUUGGAGUUGCCUCAUAGAAUAAUUAUGUUGUUUGCUUUACUCACAAAUCUAUUUUUUUAGGUCUUUGGAAGGAACUAUAAGAAAGAG
ensembl:snoRNA